UACGUAGGUGGCAAGCGUUGUCCGGAUUUACUGGGCGUAAAGGAUGCGCAGGCGGUUCGUUGUGUCGGCGGUGAAAGCCCCGGGCUUAACCUGGGAAUGGCCGUUGAAACUGGCGAACUGGAGUGUGGCAGAGGGGGGUGGAAUUCCGCGUGUAGCAGUGAAAUGCGUAGAGAUGCGGAGGAACACCGAUGGCGAAGGCAGCCCCCUGGGCUAACACUGACGCUCAGGCACGAAAGCGUGGGGAGCAAACAGG
rnacentral:rRNA from 1 species